GCCCGGCUAGCUCAAUCGGUAGAGCGUGAGACUCUUAGAAAUCUCACGAUAUCUGAAAUCUCAAGGUUGUGGGGUAUGUUUAGACGUCAUCGUCGUGGUCAAUUGCUUCGCUAACUCCCUAUUCAGUUCGACCCCCACGUCGGGCU